AGUGAACGCUGGCGGCGUGCCUAACGCAUGCAGUUCUCACGAUGAUGUAUUAUCUUGCUCUUCCUGAUAGUGGCGCACGUGUGAGUAACUCAUAUGUAAUGUGCCCCUUCGUCUGGGCUCGCCACUGGAAACUUUUCUUAAUACUAGAUACUCCUUCUCCUUAUAAGAUGAGUCUGUCAUGUUUUUCGCUAAGGGAUCAGCCUAUGUCCUAUCAGGUAGUUGGUGAGGUAACUGCUCACCAAGCCAAUGACGGGUAUCUGGUUUGAGAGAUGAUCAGACACACUGGAACUGAGACACGGUCCAGACUCCUACGGGAGGCAGCAGUGAGGAAUAUUGCACAAUGGAGGAAACUCUGAUGCAGCAACGCCGCGUGGAGGAUGACGCAUUUCGGUGUGUGAACUCCUUUUAAGAGGGAAGAUUAUGACGGUACCUCUUGAAUAAGCACCGGCUAACUCCGUGCCAGCAGCAGCCGCAG
rnacentral:rRNA from 1 species